rnacentral:rRNA from 1 species
UACAGAGGGGGCAAGCGUUAUUCGGAAUUAUUGGGCGUAAAGGGCGCGUAGGCGGCCUGGCAAGUGGAAGGUGAAAUCCCUCGGCUUAACCGAGGAACUGCCUCCCAAACUGCUUGGCUUGAGACCGGGAGAGGUGAGUGGAAUUCCCAGUGUAGCGGUGAAAUGCGUAGAUAUUGGGAGGAACACCAGUGGCGAAGGCGGCUCACUGGACCGGUACUGACGCUGAUGCGCGAAAGCGUGGGGAGCAGACGGG